GGUGAAACCGCAAAAGGCUCAUUAAAUCAGUUAUGGUUCCUUGGAUCUUAAACAGUUACUUGGAUAACUGUGGUAAUUCUAGAGCUAAUACAUGCAAACAAGUCCCGACCAGAGAUGGAAGGGACGCUUUUAUUAGAUCAAAACCGAUCGGCGUCCGGCUUCGGCCGGCGCCGUCUCUUUUGGUGACUCUGGAUAACUUUUCGCCGAUCGCACGGUCACAGUACCGGCGACGCAUCUUUCAAAUGUCUGACUUAUCAACUGUCGAUGGUAGGCUCUGCGCCUACCAUGGUUGUAACGGGUAACGGGGAAUCAGGGUUCGAUUCCGGAGAGGGAGCCUGAGAAACGGCUACCACAUCCAAGGAAGGCAGCAGGCGCGCAAAUUACCCACUCCCGGCACGGGGAGGUAGUGACGAAAAAUAACGAUACGGGACUCAUCCGAGGCCCCGUAAUCGGAAUGAGUACACUUUAAAUACUUUAACGAGUACCAAUUGGAGGGCAAGUCUGGUGCCAGCAGCCGCGGUAAUUCCAGCUCCAAUAGCGUAUAUUAAAGUUGUUGCGGUUAAAAAGCUCGUAGUUGGAUCUGUGUGCCACGCUGUCGGUUCAUCGCCCGUCGGUGUCAACUGGCAUGUCUGUGGGACGUCCUGCCGGUGGCGGUACGGGCUGUCGGCGCUGCGUAGGGGUCGCCCCCGAAGCACGUCGGCGUGUCCCGGUCCGCCGAUUCAAUCCCGCCGCGGUGCUCUUCACUGAGUGUCGAGGUGGGCCGGCACGUUUACUUUGAACAAAUUAGAGUG
rnacentral:rRNA from 1 species